rnacentral:rRNA from 1 species
AGUGAACGCUGGCGGUAGGCCUAACACAUGCAAGUCGAACGGCAGCACAGUAAGAGCUUGCUCUUACGGGUGGCGAGUGGCGGACGGGUGAGGAAUACAUCGGAAUCUACUUUUUCGUGGGGGAUAACGUAGGGAAACUUACGCUAAUACCGCAUACGACCUACGGGUGAAAGCAGGGGAUCUUCGGACCUUGCGCGAUUGAAUGAGCCGAUGUCGGAUUAGCUAGUUGGCGGGGUAAAGGCCCACCAAGGCGACGAUCCGUAGCUGGUCUGAGAGGAUGAUCAGCCACACUGGAACUGAGAGACGGUCCAGACUCCUAAGGGAGGGAGCAGUGGGGAAUAUUGGACAAUGGGCGCAAGCCUGAUCCAGCCAUACCGCGUGGGUGAAGAAGGCCUUCGGGUUGUAAAGCCCUUUUGUUGGGAAAGAAAAGCAGCAGGUUAAUACCCCGCUGUUCUGACGGUACCCAAAGAAUAAGCACCGGCUAACUUCGUG